UAAGGAGUUGGAGGUAACUGAAAAACAACUGAACGACAGCAAAAAGUUGUAUUGAAUCAUGUAUCUUAUUUUGUUUUAUUUCAGGCAUAUAUUCUACUAAAUAAUUUUAAAUUUCUAUCAACCAGCCAAUUACUAAGUGCUCAAGAAAGCUGGGGUAAUGGUGGGGAAAAGCACUGAUUUAACAGUCUGAAGAUCUGACUCCUCCAGUUACUAGGUGUCUUGCCUUGGGCAGGCUACUAGACAUCUGAGCUGACUUGAGUGGUGAUAAUGUGACAUCAAAAGGUGUUAUAAAAUUAGUCAUGACAAUUGGUAAGCCAGCAGGUAGACAGCAGCCCUUGGACCCCAGGGAAGGACUUUCCGAGGAACUGCUUAGAGUACUCUGGUUGACUUUAUCACUGAAGGAUUUCUCUGCAGAAGCCUAUCCCAAGGUCAGACUCCUCAGUCUCAAUUAUGGAGCUAAGCAGUUCUAUUCACCUAGCUUCUCAGAUUCCUGUUUGCCUUCACCUGGAAGAAAACACAGUAGAUGUGGAGUCAUUUACCUCAAGGGUACAUAGAAUACUCUACCCUGUUUCCUCAAAUCCUACGACAAGAUCAAACUUCUAUCAUCUUCAAGGGCUGGUCUUUAAUCCAAUACAUUGAUGACGUCCUACUGGCAGCACCCUAGUCUUAAGAUUUGUCAAGAUGGCAGCCAUCACCUUCUUCAACACCUUCAAAGGGGUCACAAAGUCUCUAAACAAAAAGUUCGGUGGCACCUCCCACAGAUGAAGUAUCUUGGUUUCAUUUUAUCUGUGAGUACCUGCUCUGUUUCCUUUAAGCAUGUGCAGGCCUUACAGAAGCUGUUGGUUUCCACAAACUAUACGCCAUUCUCGGAGCAGCCAGAUAUUGUCGACAAUGGAUCUCAUCCUUUGGUGUGAUCACUAAAGCCUUUAUUUCUUUGACUAAAGACUCUCCAGAACCUUUGCAGCUUGAUCAUCCAUAGCUCUUAGUCCUUGUGGAUCUCAAAAACAUCUUGUGGGCUCCUGCCCUGGACUUUCAGAUUAUAGUAAGCCCUUCUUCCUCUUUGUACAGGAAUGAAGUAGAGUGUGUGAACCCAAACAUUCGGGCCUGCUUUGUGCCCAGUGCUUUACUAAUCUGCAAAGCCUGAUGCUAAGGACACUGGUGCUCUGCCCCAUCUGUAGGUUGUGGCUGCCACUGCCCUUCUGGUGGAGAAGGCUUGUCAUCUGGUUCUGGGAGCCCUCUUUAUGGUGUAGCAUCCCCACAACGUUGAGGCCUGCUUACUUCACCACUGAACUUGGACCUUUUCUGACCAGAGACUUGCCAAAUACGAAGUGACCUUGCUGGGGAAAAAAAGAAUGUCACCCUCAAGUGAUGCCAUCCUUAAUCCUGCCGCAUUGUCCCCCAAUUUGCAAGUCUCAGGGGAGCCACUGCAUGACUUGUCCUCUGUAGUAGAUAUGGCUGAAGACCCCUGCAAUGACUUCUCCAACACCCCCUUCCAAAAUCCUGAUUAGGUCUUGAAUAUCAGCAGGUUCUCUUUUAUGAGAGAUGGUCUUUGUCACGCUGGCUCUGCUGGGAUCUUUGACCAUGACACCAUCUGGGCAGCCUUGCUGCCCUCUAAACUCAGUGCCUAACCUGCUACCUUGUAGCCCUUUCUCAGCCAUGUUACCUUGCCAAUGAAAAAGCACAAUUUAUACUGGUUGGUGGUUUGCAUUUGGUGUCUAUCAUGUGGUUGUGAUGCUUUGGCUGCAAAGGGGUUUUUGACUUGUUAAGGUCAUUGCAAAUGUGGAAUUUAUUAGGGCUCUUAUCUGUAUUGAGGCUUCCUGCUCCCCUAGCCAUUGUCUAUUGUCCUACCCAUGCCACCCCUAUAGCUGCCCAUGUAUGUACCUUCUGUUCCACUCGCUGAGCAUUUAACCAGUAUGCCUAUGGUGGGUGCCCUUUGCUUAUACCCUAGCUUAUAUGCCUUUUAAGCAUUUCCCAAUUGAUUUCAUUUUUAUACCUAUCUGGCCUCUUUAAAGUCUGCCUAGUUAUUGUUGACCAACUCAUUGGAUGGGUAGAAGUCCUUCCUGGCUCUUGGAUCACAGACAGAUUUUUUUUUUUUUUGCAAAGGUUCUCCUAAAAGAAAUUGUCCCCUGCUUUGGCCCUCUGGCCUGCAUUGAUUCUAAUAGAGGCACCCACUUUACCAGUUCUAUCCUAUCCCAUAUUUACUCUUGUCUAUAGGUACUCCUAAAAUUUCACACACCUUACCACCCCCAUAGCUCAGGUCAGGUUGAGCAUAUGAAUGAGCUUAAAACCAUGAUUGACAUGAAGCCUAUCUAAAGUGACCUGAGGUACUUCCUCUGGCUUUGUCCUAUCUGUGCAGCAGACCAAGGGUAGAAUUACAUAUGUAUCUCCUUUUGAAAUAUUUUUGGGCACCUUCCCUAUCUGCCACAUCCAAGCAAGACCUUUCCCCUAGUACACACAUCUCUAUUGGGAAGAGAAUACCUCUGUUGCUUCUUAUAUACAGGAAGUACCAACCAGGCUUCAAGAACUCCAUGAUGUAGAAGUGGCAGUACAGGCUGGGCCUUUAGAUUUUUCACUAAUGACUUUCACCUGGGACAAGUGUACCUCAAGAAUUUCUAGGGAAUAAGGGAACUUGGUGUACUUGGGAAAACCCAUUCUGAGUGCUAAGAAUCACCCCUACCUCGAUCAAGAUCUGGGAAAGAGACUCUUGGAUACACUGUUCCCAUGUGGAACCUGCUCCCUACCAUGUUUCAUAAUGUUUUUGCUCUGAUUUGCUCUGAUUUUUAUAAUGUGUUAUUCUUUUUGUGGCCUUGUCCUCCCAUAUCCAUUCCUCUCAGGAGGACUGGAAAAGACUUAAUGCUGUCAGUAAUUUUCAUGGUGGGGUAGGUCAUGCUUUAUAUCACCCCAAAUCUAUUGGGUCGCAUGGGUAUUGGGUUUGCCAUCAUAGGGACCUUGACCCAUGGACAGUCUUUCCCAUUAUGGAGUCUGAAACCAUUCUGUAAUCCAUCAGGGUUGCUGGAGGCAGUUUGCCAGUCUCUGGAGGGGAUGAUGAACUCCCUCAACUUGAGGCUUCCUUUUCUCCUUUUAUGCUGGCUAAAAGCUAGUCUAUCAGAUAUCACUCUACUAAAAUGCCACUCUCAGGAUGGUCAAGCCAUUUAAAUUAUCUGUAAAAUGUCGAUUUGCCCUGUCUGGAGCCCUUUGGGGACUUGGUGACUCCUGGAUAGUUUUUUUGUCUGUGAUGAUAAGGCUUACUCCUCCCUUCCCCCAAAAGUGCAUUGAGAUAUGUGGAACUGCCUAUAUGGACCACAUCACAGAACUACUGGGAUAAAUCUAGCAGAAACCUGGGGGCAUGGUGGUUUAAACAUUAAAAAAAAAAUUCCUAGAAGAACAUGGCUACAAUCUAAAACCAUGGAAAGGAGAUGAAGUUCUUCUGGUCCCUAAUACCAUAUAUUGGGGGUCUCUCCAUUAGUUGCUACAUUAAAACCUGUUCCAAGCUAGUCCCGAGAGGCUUAUAUUAGUGUGUUCUGCUGACCAUGACCAUGUUAAAAAUCUUUUAGAAUUAGCUAAUAGGUAGCUGGGAUGUUAACACUCCCAGGAUCAAGGGGGAGUACUGAGAGAACCACAUUGACUCCAUUUUUGUAUUAUCAUUGACAUUUUGUACAGCUGUUGGAGUUGUCUCAUUUCCUGAGUUAAGUUGAGUUUUCCUAUAGAUUAUGUGAUUUCAGAAAAGUAAUUUACUAUUGUGCCACCAACCAAUCAUUUUGCAGGAUGCAGGUGGAUACAACCAAUCGAAGGCCCUGAGCUCUGGAAAGUCCCUAAAUCUAAAAACAGUAACUUGCUAAAAAUAGUAACUGUGCUUAACAUAAAAAGCCUUAUGUCUCUUCAAGGUCCUUGUACUUACUGAGGGGUCGCUGCACCUGAUUAGUUCUGCAAUUGUAGGCCUUGUUAAUAAAUCACAUAGCUUGGACUUUGUUUCCUCAGUUAUUAUAAAAUUACUCCUGACAGCAGAAAAUGCAUAGAAUGGGGCUCAAGCCAUAUUUCUAUAACAUUGAUUUUCUCCAAACAUACUGUAUUAAACAUGGAUUAGCCAGGGGUUCUGGAGUUGUGUGGGCCUUAGGCUACAUUUUA